UUGAAACUUUCAGCCCCACCCCUGACCUCCAGGGAGCCGGGACAGGCUGAAGGCUGAGUUGAUCACCCAUGGCCAAGGAUUUAAUCAGUCAUGGCUAGGUCUCAGUGUUCUCAUCAGUAAAAAGGGAUAACACGCCUCACUUCAAGGAUGGUUGUGAGGAGUGAAGACAGAGCCUGGCACACGCUGUCCAAACAACUAGUGGCCACCAGGGCACCCGCAGUCUCCUCACUUGUGUCCCUGAAGCUCAUCAAGAGUUGCUCAACAGCCCACGGAACCACCUGCCUGUCUCAUUGUCCUUAUCUUUCCAUUUCAAGGUUUCAAUCAACCCUUGAGUACAGUCCUUAUGGAGUCAGCCCUGAGUGCCUUAGGGAAAGAAGUGAGACCGGGCAUCUCCCCUGGGAGGGGAAACAUGUUGUAGCACAUCAUGACAAAAAUAUCAAGACAGAAGUUUACAAAAUGUGCUAGGAAAAUCAAAGGAAGAGGAUGGGGGUGGGAAAACUUCAGAGAAGCAGCGACAACUUGUGCUGGACCUGAAGGAUGAAUAAGAGCUGCCAGAGGGGACGGGCGCAGUGGCUCACAUCUGUAAUCUCAGCAUUCUGGGAGGCUGAGGUGGGAGGAAUGCUUGAGCCCAGCAGUUUGAGACUGCAGUGAGCCAAGAUUGAGCUACUGUACUCCAUCCUGGCCAACAGAGAGAGCCCUGUGUCAAAAAUAAAUAAAUAAAUAAAUA